GUACCUUGCAGUGCAGUUCACCCCCAGAUACGGGAAACUUAUUCACAAGGCUUAGAAAACCCUCCCUAAAUAACUUAUACUGCAACGUUGGUCCCUACAUCACAAGAUAAUGGUUAUUUUAGAUAAAUAAUUUUUAACUGCUGUUAAUUCUGUAUUCUAAACGUUUUCAAAUUGUCAGUUUUAUAUUAUAUAUCUUCAAAUAUGUUUUUCACCACCUCCGGGGUGAAUAAUCACGGCGGUCCUUAUAAAUUGUACUGUGCGGUUUAAGUAAUUUUAUUUGAAAUACAUAUUCUUAUUUCGGUGUGACAUUCUGUCGAACGAUUCAUGAUAGCAUUUAUACAGUCGAAUUCCAAAUAUAAUAACUGACGUUUCGAACACAAAACUAGGGUGUGGGCCAAAUGCCUCGAGGGCGUCAACAUUUAACCCACAGCACAGAAACGAAACAUAAUAUUUCGAUUUUUGCGAUCUACAAUACAUU